rnacentral:misc_RNA from 1 species
UCAUUAAAUAAUCAAUAAUUUUGGCUUGUCCAUCAUUAUCUAUUUACUGUGAACUGUAUUAUUACUUGACGCUUGAGGGAUGUUCCAAUGCUAUAAGGAUAGGCACUGGAAAUGUUAACCGAGUCAUAAUCAAGCUUAGGCUUGGUAUCCUAUUAUUAUUUACCAAAAGAAUUCAGAAUUAAUAUUGUAACAUAGACGUAAAAAAUCUAUAAAACAACUUUUAACAACGGAUCUCUUGGUUCUCGCAUCGAUGAAGAACGUAGCAAAGUGCGAUAACUAGUGUGAAUUGCAUAUUCAGUGAAUCAUCGAGUCUUUGAACGCAACUUGCGCUCAUUGGUAUUCCAAUGAGCACGCCUGUUUCAGUAUCAAAACAAACCCUCUAUCCAACUUUUGUUGAAUAGGAUGACUGAGAGUCUCUUGAUCUAUUCUGAUCUUGAACCUCUUGAAAUGUACAAAGGCCUGAUCUUGUUUGAAUGCCUGAACUUUUUUUUAAUAUAAAGAGAAGCUCUUGCGAUAAAACUGUGCUGGGGCCUCCCAAAUAACACAUCUUUAAAUUUGAUCUGAAAUCAGGUGGGAUUACCCGCUGAACUUAAGCAUAUCA